GAUGGAAUAUAUGUCUUACACUGACGAAAAAAUUCUAUCGGUAAAACUGUUAAAUCUUGUAGUGAUAAAAUUGUUCAAAUUCAGAGGCAACAAUAAAGC